ensembl:lncRNA
GGAGGCUGAGGCAGGAGGAUUGCUUGAACCUGGGAGGCGGAGGUUGCAGCGAGCCGAGAUCACACUGCUGCACUCCAGCCUGGGUGACAGAGCAAGACUCCAUCUCAAAAAACAAACAAACGAACAACAACAACAACAAAGUGAGACUUCAUGUCUAAAAAAAAAGUUUAUAAAAACAACAAACCAACCAACUAAAAAGCUAAUCACCAACAGCUCAAGUGUACAGUGCUUUCUAGGCCACUUCAAAGCAGGCAUAGCAGGUAUUAAUAAAUACUUGUUGGAUAAUAAAUAAUAAAACAGAAGGAAUAAUGCUGUAACCUAAGGAUAAGACCUAGGUAGAUAGCUUUGAACAUCAGGACCUUCCUAGAACUCCUGAGAUUGUCCCACAUGGGUGACCCCUUCUUUAUCUCCAAGUUUAGGUCAGCCCAUGUUAACGCAGUGCUACAAUGUCAUUUAGUGACCUUUGGAGAAAAUCCAGAAAAUGUAUUUAAAAUGGAGGAAUUACAUUUAGAGGAAAGGGAGAGAACCAGUGAGUUGAAAAUUCCAACUUUCUUUUCACUGAGCUAAUGUUAAGACGAUAAAUUAUCGUGUUAUCAGCUAAGGAAGAGAACAGACUUGGAAACUGUCCUGCUUCCAAGAGGAUGGUUGAAGAAAUCAAAGAAUGAAGGAGUUACUUGGACGUCCACCUGCCCCUUCCUUGUUUAGUUCCAACUGGCCUUGGAGUCAGCCAGGGUAAAAAAUAGCUGUUAUCUAGGGGUAUGGAACAGGUUGCCUCUUCAAAUCAUUUAGAUUCUUAGAGUACAAUGGACCUUAAGAUCUCCCCACUAACCCCAACUGCAUUGACUGUGGUAAUGCAGGUCAUGAAGCUGCAGGAGCUGCCUGGUGGGCAUGUCAUAAUAGGGACCCUCUGCUCUGCUUGUCAUGCACUCAGGCUUCAGUGACGAUGACAGCCCAUCACACACUUCCCACUUCAUGGAGACAACACCCAGUCCCUCUCUCCAAUCCUAACCUCUCACCCACAUUCCUCUCUGCAAAAGCCUGAAGGUUAUUUCUGCCUGGAGGAUCCACUGAUAUCUCAGAGUCAAUUUGUCCUAAACUCAAACCGCUAUUAUCUUCUCAGAGGCCAUCUCAGAGGUCACCUCUGCCCAAAUCCCCUUCCUUCUCCUCCAGGCAGAGUAAAGCAUUCCUUACACUUCUGUUUCCUACUAACCCUUUCCUUCUCUGGUCUUGUGCUAGAGCUAAGUAUUGAGCCUUUGUGCCCUCUCACCAGAGGGGAGGUUCCUUCAGGGGAGGAGCUUGUAAAGGAAAAAAAGCAGCAUGGAGUAGAGUGUGACGGGAAGCAUUUUCAGACACGUUGCUGCCCGCUGCAGUGGGUCAUACCUGUAAUCCUUCUAGCAUUUUGGGAGGCCAAGGCAGGAGGAUCACUUGAGUCCAGGAGUUCAAGACUCAACUGUGUAAGCUGUGCAACAUAGUGAGACCCUGUCUCUACAAAAAAUGAAAAAUCAGCUGGACAUAGUGGCACACACCUGUGGUCCCAGCUUCUACAGAGGCUGAGGUGGAAGGAUUGUUUGAGCCUGGGAGGUCGAGGCUGCAGUGAGCUCUGAUCAUGCCAAUAGGCUUCAGUCUGGGCAACAGAGUGAGACCCUGUCAAAAAAAAAAAAAAA